rnacentral:misc_RNA from 1 species
AAGUCGUAACAAGGUCUCCGUUGGUGAACCAGCGGAGGGAUCAUUACCGAGUUUACAACUCCCAAACCCCUGUGAACAUACCUUAAUGUUGCCUCGGCGGAUCAGCCCGCGCCCCGUAAAACGGGACGGCCCGCCAGAGGACCCAAACUCUAAUGUUUCUUAUUGUAACUUCUGAGUAAAACAAACAAAUAAAUCAAAACUUUCAACAACGGAUCUCUUGGUUCUGGCAUCGAUGAAGAACGCAGCAAAAUGCGAUAAGUAAUGUGAAUUGCAGAAUUCAGUGAAUCAUCGAAUCUUUGAACGCACAUUGCGCCCGCUGGUAUUCCGGCGGGCAUGCCUGUUCGAGCGUCAUUUCAACCCUCAAGCCCCCGGGUUUGGUGUUGGGGAUCGGCUCUGCCUUCUGGCGGCGCCGCCCCCGAAAUACAUUGGCGGUCUCGCUGCAGCCUCCAUUGCGUAGUAGCUAACACCUCGCAACUGGAACGCGGCGCGGCCAUGCCGUAAAACCCCAACUUCUGAAUGUUGACCUCGGAUCAGGUAGGAAUACCCGCUGAACUUAA